rnacentral:tRNA from 1 species
GGGCGGAUGGCGGAAUUGGCAGACGCGUCAGCCUUAGGAGCUGAUGGGUGGAAACCCAUGGAGGUUCGAGUCCUCUUCCGCCCA